rnacentral:rRNA from 1 species
GUGUCAGCAGCCGCGGUAAUACGGAGGAUCCAAGCGUUAUCCGGAUUUAUUGGGUUUAAAGGGUGCGUAGGCGGACUGGUAAGUCAGCUGUGAAAGUUUGCGGCUUAACCGUAAAAUUGCAGUUGAUACUGUCAGUCUUGAGUGUGCAUGAGGUGGGCGGAAUUUGUGGUGUAGCGGUGAAAUGCUUAGAUAUCACGAGGAACUCCAAUUGCGAAGGCAGCUCACUGGGGCAUAACUGACGCUGAUGCACGAAGGUGUGGGUAUCAAACAGGAUUAGAUACCCUGGUAGUCCACACAGUAAACUAUGAAUACUCGCUGUUUGCGAUAUACAGUAAGCGGCCAAGCGAAAGCAUUAAGUAUUCCACCUGGGGAGUACGCCGGCAACGGUGAA